rnacentral:sRNA from 1 species
GCACCGACACAUCUUCUUGCAUCGCUAUGGCUUGUAAUGGGCUGUGCUGGAGAACGUAUUGCCGUGUCCGUGCUCUCUUAUUGAGCUGGUGGGAACUGAAUGGGGCCCUGACCGAUACCGGUCGGGGCCUUUCGCUCGGGU